rnacentral:rRNA from 1 species
CUACGGGGCGCUGCAGUGAGGAAUUUUGCGCAAUGGGGGAAACCCUGACGCAGCAACGCCGCGUGAGUGAAGAAGGCCCUUGGGUCGUAAAGCUCUGUCAAUGGGGAAGAAGUUAUUAUGUGUUAAUAGCACAUUUUAUUGACGGUACCCAUGAAGGAAGCACCGGCUAACUCCGUGCCAGCAGCCGCGGUAAUACGGGGGGUGCAAGCGUUAUUCGGAAUUAUUGGGCGUAAAGGGCACGCAGACGGUCCUGUCAGUCAGAUGUGAAAGCCCGGGGCUCAACCCCGGACGUGCAUUUGAAACAGCAGGACUUGAGUACGGGAGAGGAAAGGGGAAUUCCUGGUGUAGAGGUGAAAUUCGUAGAUAUCAGGAGGAACACCGGUGGCGAAGGCGCCUUUCUGGACCGAUACUGACGCUGAGGUGCGAAGGCGUGGGUAGCGAACGGGAUUAGAUACCCUCGUAGUC